rnacentral:rRNA from 1 species
AGAGUUUGAUCCUGGCUCAGGAUGAACGCUAGCGGCAGGCUUAAUACAUGCAAGUCGAACGGUAACAGGUGUAGCAAUACGCGCUGACGAGUGGCAGACGGGUGAGGAACACGUACGCAAUCUUCCUCUUUCUGGUGAAUAGCCCUGAGAAAUUAGGAUUAAUACACCAUAGAAUUACGAAGCGGCAUCGCUUUGUAAUU